GACGAACGCUGGCGGCGUGCUUAACACAUGCAAGUCGAACGGAAAGGCCCUGCUUUUGUGGGGUGCUCGAGUGGCGAACGGGUGAGUAACACGUGAGUAACCUGCCCUUGACUUUGGGAUAACUUCAGGAAACUGGGGCUAAUACCGGAUAGGAGCUCCUGCUGCAUGGUGGGGGUUGGAAAGUUUCGGCGGUUGGGGAUGGACUCGCGGCUUAUCAGCUUGUUGGUGGGGUAGUGGCUUACCAAGGCUUUGACGGGUAGCCGGCCUGACAGGGUGACCGGCCACAUUGGGACUGAGAUACGGCCCAGACGCCUACGGGAGGCAGAAGUGGGGAAUAUUGCACAAUGGGCGGAAGCCUGAUGCAGCAACGCCGCGUGCGGGAUGACGGCCUUCGGGGUGUAAACCGCUUUCGCCUGUGACGAAGCGUGAGUGACGGUAAUGGGUAAAGAAGCACCGGCUAACUACGUG
rnacentral:rRNA from 1 species